rnacentral:lncRNA from 1 species
AUCGAACAUAAGGCCAGACUAUGCAGACUCCAAUUUCCAUGACUUCAAGAUGCACACCUUCACUCGGGUGACGUCCUGCAAAGUCUGCCAGAUGCUCCUGAGAGGAACAUUUUAUCAAGGCUAUUUAUGUUUUAAGUGUGGAGCAAGAGCGCAUAAAGAAUGCCUUGGAAGAGUAGACAAUUGUGGCAGAAUUAAUUCGGGGGAAACGAGCCAAUGGACUCCGAAGAACUCCCAGACAGGUGGAUCCAGGAUUCUACUAUUAGAGGUUUGCCAAAAAUGCAGGUCAUUAGGAACUAUACUGGAACACCACCCCCAGCUCUUCAUGAAGGACCCCCGCUACAUAUCCAGGCAGGGGAUACUGUUGAACUUCUGAGAGGAGACGCACACAGUGUGUUUUGGCAGGGUAGAAAUUUAGCAUCAGGAGAGGUUGGAUUUUUCCCAAGUGAUGCUGUUAAGCCUUCCCCAUGUGUACCCAAACCAGUAGAUUAUUCUUGCCAACCCUGGUAUGCUGGAGCAAUGGAAAGAUUACAGGCAGAGACCGAACUUAUUAACAGGGUAAAUAGUACUUACCUUGUGAGGCACAGGACCAAAGAGUCAGGAGAAUAUGCAAUUAGCAUUAAGUACAAUAAUGAAGCAAAGCAUAUCAAGAUUUUAACAAGAGAUGGCUUUUUUCACAUAGCAGAAAAUAGAAAAUUUAAAAGUUUAAUGGAACUUGUGGAAUACUACAAGCAUCAUUCUCUUAAAGAAGGGUUCAGAACCUUAGAUACAACUCUGCAGUUUCCGUACAAGGAGCCAGAACAUUCGGCCGGACAGAGGGGUAGUAGGGCAGGCAACAGCUUGUUAAGUCCGAAAGUGCUGGGCAUUGCCAUCGCUCGGUACGACUUCUGUGCGAGAGACAUGCGGGAACUGUCCUUGCUGAAAGGAGAUGUGGUGAAGAUUUACACCAAGAUGAGCGCGAAUGGCUGGUGGAGAGGGGAAGUGAACGGCAGGGUGGGCUGGUUUCCAUCCACAUAUGUGGAAGAGGAUGAAUAA